rnacentral:miRNA from 1 species
ACAAGGUAUGGGAGGUAUGGAAUG